rnacentral:rRNA from 1 species
AUUGAACGCUGGCGGCAGGCUUAACACAUGCAAGUCGAGCGGUAACAGAGAGAAGCUUGCUUCUCUGCUGACGAGCGGCGGACGGGUGAGUAAUGCCUAGGAAUCUGCCUAGUAGUGGGGGAUAACUUGCCGAAAGGUAAGCUAAUACCGCAUACGUCCUACGGGAGAAAGGAGGGGACCUUCGGGCCUUUCGCUAUUAGAUGAGCCUAGGUCGGAUUAGUUAGUUUGUGAGGUAAUGGCUCACCAAGACCGCGAUCCGUAACUGGUCUGAGAGGAUGAACAGUCACACUGGAACUGAGACACGGUCCAGACUCCUACGGGAGGCAGCAGUGGGGAAUAUUGGACAAUGGGGGGGACCCUGAUCCAGCCAUGCCGCGUGUGUGAAGAAGGUCUUAGGAUUGUAAAGCACUUUAAGUUGGGAGGAAGAGCAGUUAACUAAUAUUUGACUGUUUUGACGUUACCGACAGAAUAAGCACCGGCUAACUUCGUGCCAGCAGCCGCCGUAA